UUAACUAACGUUUGUAUGGAGUUGAAACGUUUGCCUACGUUUGCCGCUAGGGACGCUGUUUCAACUGCAUACGAAUUUGAGUUA
rnacentral:pre_miRNA from 1 species